UACGGAGGGUGCAAGCAUUGAUCGGAAUUACUGGGCGUAAAGGGCGCGUAGGCGGCAAGACAAGUCAGAUGUGAAAUUCCGGGGCUCAACCCCGGAGCUGCAUUUGAAACUGUCUUACUAGAGUUCAGUUAGGGUAAACGGAAUUCCACGUGUAGCGGUGAAAUGCGUAGAUAUGUGGAAGAACACCGGUGGUGAAGACGGUUUACUGGGCUGAGACUGACGCUGAGGCGCGAAAGCAUGGGGAGCAAACAGG
rnacentral:rRNA from 1 species